rfam:Paxillus rubicundulus Ve08.2h10 scaffold_94_c1, whole genome shotgun sequence.
GCCCGCCUAGCUCAAUCGGAUAGAGCGUCAGACUCUUAGGCUGGGUGAUCUGAAGGCUGCGAGUUCGACCCUCGCGGUGGGCU